UACGUAGGGGCCUAGCGUUGUCCGGAUUUAUUGGGCGUAAAGAGCUCGUAGGCGGUUUGGUGAGUCGGGUGUGAAAUCUCCACGCUCAACGUGGAGGGGCCACCCGAUACUGCCAUGACUAGAGUCCGGUAGGGGAGUGUGGAAUUCCCGGUGUAGCGGUGAAAUUCGUAGAUAUCGGGAGGAACACCGGUGGCGAAGGCGGCGACCUGGGUAGAUACUGACGCUGAGGCGCGAAAGCGUGGGGAGCAAACAGG
rnacentral:rRNA from 1 species